AACGAACGCUGGCGGCAGGCUUAACACAUGCAAGUCGAACGCUCCGCAAGGAGAGUGGCAGACGGGUGAGUAACGCGUGGGAAUCUACCCAGUUCUACGGAACAACUGAGGGAAACUUCAGCUAAUACCGUAUACGCCCUAUGGGGGAAAGAUUUAUCGGAAUUGGAUGAGCCCGCGUAAGAUUAGCUAGUUGGUGAGGUAAUGGCUCACCAAGGCGACGAUCUUUAGCUGGUCUGAGAGGAUGAUCAGCCACACUGGGACUGAGACACGGCCCAGACUCCUACGGGAGGCAGCAGUGGGGAAUAUUGGACAAUGGGCGCAAGCCUGAUCCAGCCAUGCCGCGUGAGUGAUGAAGGCCUUAGGGUUGUAAAGCUCUUUCAGUGGGGACGAUAAUGACGGUACCCACAGAAGAAGCCCCGGCUAACUUCGUGCCAGCAGCCGCGGUAAU
rnacentral:rRNA from 1 species